AAGCAUAUCUGAAUAAUUCUAGUGUUUAUAAGACAUUAAGAGUUAUGACAACUUAACUAUUUACAGGAUAUCAGAUAUGUUUGUAAAAAAAAAUAAUAGCUAGCACAACCUUUAUACGCAAUUUCUAGGGCUGUGUAUCAUCAGAGAAAUAUUAAACCCUCAGGGAAACUGCCAGUUUAGUCACGAUGGCACGGUCGGAGUAUAUAUGACUACCUUAGCAUUUAAAUUAUCGUACUGCAUAUUUAAAAGUUUUAUUCGACUUUGUAUAUUGUAUACCACCAGAGUAGCUAUAAUAAUAAGUUGGCUAGUAACGCUACCGCGGCCAAAAGUUAAAAUUUAAUAUUUAAUUCGACUUAUCUUUAAUGUAAAAAUCGUAAAAACAAAAUCGUCUUGGGACGAUCGAAUAGUGAUUGGCCCAUUUAAGUUUCAGUAAUACGUCAGCGGUGAAAGAGGCCGUCCUUCCAGAAAUGACGUAGUGGACGUUGCAGUCGACAUAUAAAUGCGCACCGAAAUCGCGUGUAAGAUUUAAAACAGAUGCGAUUUCACGCCGAGGUAAGUAGCGACAUUAAGUAUUAAACAUUUUUGAUUCCUGUAGUUAAUCUAAUCCGAUGUACGUUUAAUGGCAGAUGGACAAACUCGUAUUUUGCUGUUUAUUCGUUUGGCUGUCUUUUAAUAUCGGCUGGAGUUCUACGGCGAAAUGGCACGAGGACGCAAAUGAAGGGAAUAAGGUGACUAUCGACAGAUGCCAAAUAGAGGAAAACUACGAGCUGAGAAAAUUGUGUGAUAUAUGUUCUAGAGUGACUGGAAAUUACGAUCUGUAUAACAGAUGCUGCUAUAACAGAAACGAAGAAGAAAACUGGUGCCGACAGUUUAUAAAUUAUAGAUUUCAGCCUCAGUAAGAUUAAGUGGCUUUUUUAAUCACGAAUAUUUCGCUUAUUUAUAUUGUCGAUAUACUAUUGUAACUGUUUCUGUUGUAAUAAACGUGAUUAUCUAUUAAUAUUGGAGUUAUAUGUGGAAAUUAAUCGACCGAAUCACCAGGGAGUUAAUUUAGAAGAAUAUUUCGACUUCGGUCUAUGAAUAAACAGUGUAGCACCGAUAAAACUUUACUUAGUUUCGUUAAUAACUUUGAUAUUUAUAUAAUUCCGAUUACACACAUUUUUUAAUGAUAAAUUCAGUUAAAAUUAUCAAUAUUAAACACCGCCAUACGCUCAAAAACGUAUCCGAAUAAACACUUGUUGCAUAGUAAAAUUUUAUUAUUCUUCAAGGUCGAUAAUUUCGUAGAAGCGCGAUUCUGGGAAACUAUGCGUAAUCGUAUUUAAGCCGUCAAGCGUUUAGUAAGAAUGUUGUUACGCGAAAAGGUAGAGUGUAAUUUUCUUACGAAACGUUGUUUACCUUUUCGUUCGUCGUAUAAAGCGUUCAACAGUACAAAACACGAAAGAGCAAAAAUAUUUACAGUUCUACAGUGAGAUAAGAAAGAAAGCAUUAUUGGAUUUAUUUGAAAAAUUUUUUAUAUUGUUGAAGUUGUAGCAAAACUCAGAUCGAAACUGUUUCUGUUUUCCUUAAGGAUCGAAAAUUUAAAAAAUUUUUUUUUUUUUUUGCAAAUAUGCAUUUUUGGAAUUCUCCGUGAAUUAAAUUCGAAAC
rnacentral:lncRNA from 1 species